rnacentral:rRNA from 1 species
GACGAACGCUGGCGGCGUGCCUAAUACAUGCAAGUAGAACGCUGAAGAGAGGAGCUUGCUCUUCUUGGAUGAGUUGCGAACGGGUGAGUAACGCGUAGGUAACCUGCCUUGUAGCGGGGGAUAACUAUUGGAAACGAUAGCUAAUACCGCAUAACAAUGAAUGACUCAUGUCAUUUAUUUGAAAGGGGCAAUUGCUCCACUACAAGAUGGACCUGCGUUGUAUUAGCUAGUAGGUGAGGUAACGGCUCACCUAGGCGACGAUACAUAGCCGACCUGAGAGGGUGAUCGGCCACACUGGGACUGAGACACGGCCCAGACUCCUACGGGAGGCAGCAGUAGGGAAUCUUCGGCAAUGGGGGCAACCCUGACCGAGCAACGCCGCGCGAGUGGAGAAGGUUUUCGGAUCGUAAAGCUCUGUUGUAAGUCAAGAACGAGUGUGAGAGUGGAAAAUUCACACUGUGACGGUAGCUUACCAGAAAGG